rnacentral:rRNA from 1 species
CCUACGGGAGGCUGCAGUGGGGAAUAUUGCACAAUGGGCGCAAGCCUGAUGCAGCCAUGCCGCGUGUGUGAAGAAGGCCUUCGGGUUGUAAAGCACUUUCAGCGGGGAGGAAGGCGUUAAGGUUAAUAACCUUGUCGAUUGACGUUACCCGCAGAAGAAGCACCGGCUAACUCCGUGCCAGCAGCCGCGGUAAUACGGAGGGUGCAAGCGUUAAUCGGAAUUACUGGGCGUAAAGCGCACGCAGGCGGUCUGUCAAGUCGGAUGUGAAAUCCCCGGGCUCAACCUGGGAACUGCAUUCGAAACUGGCAGGCUAGAGUCUUGUAGAGGGGGGUAGAAUUCCAGGUGUAGCGGUGAAAUGCGUAGAGAUCUGGAGGAAUACCGGUGGCGAAGGCGGCCCCCUGGACAAAGACUGACGCUCAGGUGCGAAAGCGUGGGGAGCAAACAGGAUUAGAUACCCUAUAGUC